UACGUAGGUGGCAAGCGUUGUCCGGAUUUAUUGGGCUUAAAGGGUGCGUAGGCGGUUCUAUAAGUCAGUGGUGAAAUACGGCAGCUCAACUGUCGAGGUGCCAUUGAUACUGCAGAACUUGAGUACAGACGAGGUAGGCGGAAUUGACGGUGUAGCGGUGAAAUGCUUAGAUAUCGUCAAGAACACCGAUAGCGAAGGCAGCUUACUAGACUGUAACUGACGCUGAGGCACGAAAGUGUGGGGAUCAAACAGG
rnacentral:rRNA from 1 species